AGACAGAGGGUGCAAGCGUUGUUCGGAAUUAUUGGGCGUAAAGGGCGCGUAGGCGGCCAUGUAAGUCAGAUGUGAAAGCCCAGGGCUCAACCCUGGAAGUGCGUCUGAUACUGCGUGGCUUGAAUCCCGGAGGGGGUGGUGGAAUUCCCAGUGUAGAGGCGAAAUUCGUAGAUAUUGGGAGGAAUACCGGUAGCGAAGGCGACCACCUGGACGGAGAUUGACGCUGAGGCGCGAAAGCGUGGGGAGCAAACAGGAUUAGAUACCCUGGUAGUCCACGCCGUAAACGAUGGGUACUAGGCGUUGUGGGUAUUGACCCCUACAGUGCCGACGCUAACGCAUUAAGUACCCCGCCUGGGAAGUACGGCCGCAAGGCUAAA
rnacentral:rRNA from 1 species